UACGUAGGCAGCAAGCGUUGUUCGGAGUUACUGGGCGUAAAGGGUGUGUAGGCGGCCUGUUAAGUUCCGUGUGAAAUCUCCCGGCUCAACCGGGAGGGUGCGCGGAAUACUGACGGGCUAGAGUGCGGGAUGGGAGAGUAGAAUUCCUGGUGUAGCGGUGAAAUGCGUAGAUAUCAGGAGGAAUACCGGUGGUGUAGACGGCUCUCUGGACCGUAACUGACGCUGAGACACGAAAGCGUGGGUAGCAAACAGG
rnacentral:rRNA from 1 species